rnacentral:misc_RNA from 1 species
ACCCCUAGAAUCUCCAGUCCUUCGAUUACGAGGGAUGAAGAUGUCCACGACCUUGCCAUACUUGUCGAAGAGCGGGAAAAGAUCAUCUGCAGUCGUUCCUAGGAUAGAAGGAGCCAAGAGGAUUCAAAUUGUCGGAGAAAACACAACAGAUAUGUAUUCACAGUGUAAAAUUGGAGAGGGUAGAAAGCUAAAUACGGAAAGUGAUGUUGAGUACGA